rnacentral:rRNA from 1 species
CCUACGGGGGGCUGCAGUGGGGAAUAUUGGACAAUGGGCGAAAGCCUGAUCCAGCCAUGCCGCGUGUGUGAAGAAGGCCUUCGGGUUGUAAAGCACUUUCAGUGGGGAAGAAAGCCUUGGGGCUAAUACCCUCGAGGAAGGACAUCACCCACAGAAGAAGCACCGGCUAACUCCGUGCCAGCAGCCGCGGUAAUACGGAGGGUGCGAGCGUUAAUCGGAAUUACUGGGCGUAAAGCGCGCGUAGGCGGUCUGAUAAGCCGGUUGUGAAAGCCCCGGGCUCAACCUGGGAACGGCAUCCGGAACUGUCAGGCUAGAGUGCAGGAGAGGAAGGUAGAAUUCCCGGUGUAGCGAUGAAAUGCGUAGAGAUCGGGAGGAAUACCAGUGGCGAAGGCGGCCUUCUGGACUGACACUGACGCUGAGGUGCGAAAGCGUGGGUAGCAAACAGGAUUAGAUACCCCUGGUAGUC